rnacentral:misc_RNA from 1 species
CCAAUAGCGUAUAUUAAAGUUGUUGUGGUUAAAAAGCUCGUAGUUGAACCUUGGGCCUGGCUGGCCGGUCCGCCUCACCGCGUGUACUGGUCCGGCCGGGCCUUUCCCUCUGUGGAACCUCAUGCCCUUCACUGGGUGUGACGGGGAAGCAGGACUUUUACUGUGAAAAAAUUAGAGUGCUCCAAGCAGGCCUAUGCUCGAAUACAUUAGCAUGGAAUAAUAAAAUAGGACGUGCGGUUCUAUUUUGUUGGUUUCUAGGACCGCCGUAAUGAUUAAUAGGGACCGUCGGGGGCACCAGUAUUCAAUUGUCAGAGGUGAAAUUCUUGGAUUUAUUGAAGACUAACUACUGCGAAAGCAUUUGCCAAGGAUGUUUUCAUUAAUCAGGAACGAAAGUUAGGGGAUCGAAGACGAUCAGAUACCGUCGUAGUCUUAACCAUAAACGAUGCCAACCAGCGAUUAGCCUGAGUUCCUUAAAUGACUCGGCUAGCAGCUUCCG